UACGGAGGGAGCUAGCGUUGUUCGGAAUUACUGGGCGUAAAGCGCACGUAGGCGGCCCUGCAAGUCGGAUGUGAAAUCCCACGGCUCAACCGUGGAAGUGCAUUCGAAACUGCAGGGCUAGAGUCCUGGAGAGGAAGGUGGAAUGCUUGGUGUAGAGGUGAAAUUCGUAGAUAUCAAGCGGAACACCGGUGGCGAAGGCGGCCUUCUGGACAGUGACUGACGCUGAGACGCGAAAGCGUGGGGAGCAAACAGG
rnacentral:rRNA from 1 species